rnacentral:lncRNA from 1 species
UUUCUGGAAAAAAUAAAAGAAAAAAUUUUAAAUACCACUCAUGUGGUUUUGCACAUUCUUACUUUACUACCAUAUGGUUUAAAGUGUAUUACUUUCAUAAACUAUAGUUUUAUUUUUAUCUUUUUGUUAUCCUCUUCACUAUUUUUUUUCGUUAAAUUAGUAACAAAGUUAAAACUAAAGGAUAUUAAAGUGAAUAUUCGAUAAACUAUAAAUGAAUAUCUGAAGUUUUUUUGUAUAAUAAUUUAACAGAAAUUUAACGGAGGUGCUGACGAAAAGAAAAAAAUGAAACCACAUGGUACUAAAUUGAUACGCUUUAAACCACAGAAUACUAAAGUGAGAAAGUGCGAAACCAAAGGGAUGGUAUUUGAAGUUUAUCCAAAAUAAAAUUUUAGAAGGGGUAUUUUGAGAAUUAGAAUUUUGUAGGGAUUAGUUUGAA